rnacentral:rRNA from 1 species
UACGGGGGGGGCAAGCGUUGUUCGGAAUUACUGGGCGUAAAGGGCUCGUAGGUGGCCAACUAAGUCAGACGUGAAAUCCCUCGGCUUAACUGGGGAACUGCGUCUGAUACUGGAUGGCUAGAGUGUGGGAGAGGGAUGCGGAAUUCCAGGUGUAGCGGUGAAAUGCGUAGAUAUCUGGAGGAACACCGGUGGCGAAGGCGGCAUCCUGGACCACGACUGACGCUGAGUGAGCGAAAGCCAGGGGAGCAAACGGG